GAGCCCCUGCCUGAGAACUGCACUGUAGGAUAGGUGGACACUCAUCUUCACUUUGGCAGAAUCGUUGGGCCUUCACACAGCACACAAAGUUCACCCUACUACUCUGCAGCUCAGGAGCAGCCCCCGGUGAGGCCACAGCAAUGGUAGAAAGAUGGCUCUGUUGAGAUGAGCUCUUAAUUAAUGCACUGAGAACCUGUGAGUCCCACCUCUCAACAGAAAUGAUUGACAUCCAAGGAUACAUAAAUUACACUAAUUGAGCUCUGCCUCCAUAUAGGCAUUCCACAGCUAACUCAUCAGAGAAGCUAGGCUUGUACCACACCAGAAUAUUUGCUUAGCAACUGGAGCACACUCCCACAGAACUGAAGGAAGAUACAA